rnacentral:rRNA from 1 species
GAGGCAGCAGUGAGGAAUAUUGGUCAAUGGGCGAGAGCCUGAACCAGCCAAGUAGCGUGAAGGAUGACUGCCCUAUGGGUUGUAAACUUCUUUUAUAAAGGAAUAAAGUCGGGUAUGGAUACCCGUUUGCAUGUACUUUAUGAAUAAGGAUCGGCUAACUCCGUGCCAGCAGCCGCGGUAAUACGGAGGAUCCGAGCGUUAUCCGGAUUUAUUGGGUUUAAAGGGAGCGUAGAUGGAUGUUUAAGUCAGUUGUGAAAGUUUGCGGCUCAACCGUAAAAUUGCAGUUGAUACUGGAUAUCUUGAGUGCAGUGGAGGCAGGCGGAAUUGGUGGUGUAGCGGUGAAAUGCUUAGAUAUCACGAAGAACUCCGAUCGCGAAGGCAUUGUGCCGGGGCAUAACUGACGCUGAGGCUCGAAA